GGUUCGCUCGCCACCAGGACCACAAUCUAAACCUUUUUUAUGCAGUUGCAAUCAGCGUCAGUAUAACAAAUGUAAAUCAUUUACAACUUUCAACAACGGAUCUCUUGGUUCUGGCAUCGAUGAAGAACGCAGCGAAAUGCGAUACGUAGUGUGAAUUGCAGAAUUCAGUGAAUCAUCGAAUCUUUGAACGCACAUUGCGCCCUUUGGUAUUCCAAAGGGCAUGCCUGUUCGAGCGUCAUUUGUACCCUCAAGCUUUGCUUGGUGUUGGGCGUUUUUGUCCUUGGGGUUUGCCCCAAAGACUCGCCUUAAAACGAUUGGCAGCCGGCCUACUGGUUUCGCAGCGCAGCACAUUUUUGCGCUUGCAAUCAGCAAAAGAGGACGGCAAUCCAUCAAGACUCCUUCUCACGUUUGACCUCGGAUCAGGUAGGGAUACCCGCUGAACUUAAGCAUAUCAAUAAGCGGAGGAAGGG
rnacentral:rRNA from 1 species